rnacentral:rRNA from 1 species
UCUGGUUGAUUCUGCCAGUAGUCAUAUGCUUGUCUCAAAGAUUAAGCCAUGCAUGUCUAAGUAUAAGCACUUUAUACUGUGAAACUGCGAAUGGCUCAUUAAAUCAGUUAUCGUUUAUUUGAUAGUACCUUACUACAUGGAUACCUGUGGUAAUUCUAGAGCUAAUACAUGCUAAAAACCUCGACUUCGGAAGGGGUGUAUUUAUUAGAUAAAAAACCAAUGCCCUUCGGGGCUCCUUGGUGAUUCAUAAUAACUUAACGAAUCGCAUGGCCUUGCGCCGGCGAUGGUUCAUUCAAAUUUCUGCCCUAUCAACUUUCGAUGGUAGGAUAGUGGCCUACCAUGGUGGCAACGGGUAACGGGGAAUUAGGGUUCGAUUCCGGAGAGGGAGCCUGAGAAACGGCUACCACAUCCAAGGAAGGCAGCAGGCGCGCAAAUUACCCAAUCCCGACACGGGGAGGUAGUGACAAUAAAUACUGAUACGGGGCUCUUUUGGGUCUCGUAAUUGGAAUGAGUACAAUCUAAAUCCCUUAACGAGGAACAAUUGGAGGGCAAGUCUGGUGCCAGCAGCCGCGGUAAUUCCAGCUCCAAUAGCGUAUAUUAAAGUUGUUGCAGUUAAAAAGCUCGUAGUUGAACCUUGGGUCUGGCUGGCCGGUCCGCCUCACCGCGAGUACUGGUCCGGCUGGACCUUUCCUUCUGGGGAACCUCAUGGCCUUCACUGGCUGUGGGGGGAACCAGGACUUUUACUGUGAAAAAAUUAGAGUGUUCAAAGCAGGCCUUUGCUCGAAUACAUUAGCAUGGAAUAAUAGAAUAGGACGUGCGGUUCUAUUUUGUUGGUUUCUAGGACCGCCGUAAUGAUUAAUAGGGAUAGUCGGGGGCGUCAGUAUUCAGCUGUCAGAGGUGAAAUUCUUGGAUUUGCUGAAGACUAACUACUGCGAAAGCAUUC